GUGUGUGUGUGUGCGCUCUUUCUCUCUCUCAAAUAAAUAAAUAAAAUCUGGAAAAAAAAAAAAAGGCUAGAAGUCCAUUUACCUUUAGAAACAGCAAGAUCCAAAACAGCAAGGGACUUAAAUGAUGUCAUUUGGACCUAAUCUCUCUUCCUUUGGCUUUGCUUUUCUUUGUUUUGGUGUCAUUCUUAGACAGGCUCCACCCAUGCAGUGGCAAAGAUCGAUAUCAGCUUUGGGUGUGCAUUCUACUAGCUAAGCAACCACUAUUGAAAGAUAAUACCUGUUUCCUGAUGGUGCUGGCAGUCCUGGGUAUGAUUUUGGCUUGGAUCAUGUGUCCACCCUAAAGUAAUCACAGAGGAAUGCUGGACUUUGAUUGGCUAACAGAGUUACAUUCUUUCUACUCAUGGAACCCCGGGGUCAGGGUCGGCUCGCCUGGAACCACGUGGGCUGAGGGCAGUCAGGGAGAGGGUGGUAAGUAGCAGAACCAGUUACUGCCUGGAGUUGAAGAUGCCAAGGACCUUGCGGAGCCCUGACACCAAACUGCUUUUAUUGAAGAAGCCCCAAGCCUUUUGAAUUUAAAUAGGGACUCAGAGAACAGGAAGGAGUCACUUCGUAAUGUAUUGGUUAAGAGCAAGCACAAGCAGGGGGAG